rnacentral:rRNA from 1 species
GGGGGAUAUUGCACAAUGGAGGAAACUCUGAUGCAGCGACGCCGCGUGAGGGAAGACGGUCUUCGGAUUGUAAACCUCUGUCUUUGGGGAAGAAAAUGACGGUACCCAAAGAGGAAGCUCCGGCUAACUAC